rnacentral:lncRNA from 1 species
UUUUCCUGUUCAUUUUCCAUUUUUUUCCUGUCCUCUUCAUCACAAAAAUUUUCCUAUGAGCAAGAAUAUGAUGGAUGUGCUCUAACUGGGAAUACACAAAAGCCAAAAAGUCAGACUUCAGAAAAAUAUUACUUGGCAAAUGAACUAGAAUGUUCUGUGACCACAGUUCAAAUAUGCUGGUUUUCCGAAAAAUGUUCAGGACAUCCAAUUAUAUUCCCAAGCCUUCCAGUUCAUUUGCAAGACUAGAGGCCCCAGUCUCUGCUGGAAUGAAAAGGACAGCAUUGCUGCAGCAACUGUAAUGAAGGACAGUGGAUGAACACUCAGGCUAGCUGUUUCUCAAGACCCCACAGACCUGCGUGAAGGAGGUGCUGUGAUGAUGAUGUCACUGCUGAAGGAGGACAGACAGAAGGGGAAGACUUAACUCUCUAAUCUCCCCCUCACAUGUGGCUUUCACCAUGUUUAAUUUUUCAGUCUAUUUUUUUUGUGG